rnacentral:lncRNA from 1 species
ACGGUCAAGAAGAAUCAACAUGGGAACUUGAAGAGAAGAUGAAAGAGAAGUAUCCAGAGCUUUUUCCCGAAGGUGAAUAACUCAAAUUUCGGGACGAAAUUUUUUUUAAGGGGGGUAGGAUGUAACACCCCGUACUUUUCCUAUGAUGUGAGAUAGUGUCUUAACACUAUUGAGAGAACUGAGAUGUCGAGAUGCGAGAUUAUUUUUUUUUAUGAUUAGAUAAGACAGUUUGUCUUUUAAAUAGAGAUACGAGUGACUAAACCGAGGAUAGAGUUAGAAUGAUGAGAUUCGAGAAAUGAGCUGAGAUAGAGAUGCUGAUUGAAUUGAGUUGAGAUUUUAUUUUAUUUCCGAUUACCGGGAAUAAAUUUAACAGAUACUGAGUUAUCAGAGUUUGACUGACCUAUUAAAGAGAAUAGGUAUAAUGAGUCUGACCUAGAGUCGAGGAAGAAAGAGUGAGAACCCUGAUGAUAAGAGUCGGUCCGAGAGAUGUCUAGUGUGU